rnacentral:rRNA from 1 species
CAGGGAUUGCCUCAGUAACGGCGAGUGAAGCGGCAACAGCUCAAAUUUGAAAUCUGACCCUUUCAGGGCCCGAGUUGUAAUUUGUAGAGGAUGUGUCGGGUGCGGCGCCGGUCUAAGUCCCUUGGAACAGGGCGUCAUAGAGGGUGAGAAUCCCGUAUGUGACCGGCGACCAACCCCAUGUGAAACCCCUUCGACGAGUCGAGUUGUUUGGGAAUGCAGCUCCAAAUGGGUGGUAAAUUUCAUCUAAAGCUAAAUACUGGCUGGAGACCGAUAGCGAACAAGUAGAGUGAUCGAAAGAUGAAAAGCACUUUGGAAAGAGAGUUAAAAAGUACGUGAAAUUGUUGAAAGGGAAGCGCUUGCAACCAGACCUGUCCCCGGGCGAUCAGCGGCUGUUCUCAGUCGUGCACUCGUCCGUGAUCAGGCCAGCAUCGGUUCGGGCGGUCGGAUAAAGGCCACGGGAAUGUAGCUCCCUUCGGGGAGUCUUAUAGCCCGAGGUGCAAUGCGGCCAGCUUGGACCGAGGACCGCGCUUCGGCUAGGAUGCUGGCAUAAUGGUUGUAAGCGACCCGUCUUGAAACACGGACCAAGGAGUCUAACAUCUAUGCGAGUGUUUGGGUGUCAAACCCAUGCGCGUAAUGAAAGUGAACGGAGGUGGGAACCCUUCAGGGCGCACCAUCGACCGAUCCAGAUGUCUUCGGAUGGAUUUGAGUACGAGCAUAGCUGUUGGGACCCGAAAGAUGGUGAACUAUGCCUGAAUAGGGUGAAGCCAGAGGAAACUCUGGUGGAGGCUCGCAGCGGUUCUGACGUGCAAAUCGAUCGUCAAAUUUGGGUAUAGGGGCGAAAGACUAAUCGAACCAUCUAGUAGCUGGUUCCUGCCGAAGUUUCCCA